UACGUAGGGACCAAGCGUUGUUCGGAUUUAUUGGGCGUAAAGGGCGCGUAGGCGGCGCGGUAAGUCAGUUGUGAAAUCUCUGAGCUUAACUCAGAACGGCCAAGUGAUACUGCAGUGCUAGAGUGUGGAAGGGGCAAUCGGAAUUCUUGGUGUAGCGGUGAAAUGCGUAGAUAUCAAGAGGAACCCCUGAGGUGAAGACGGGUUGCUGGGCCAACACUGACGCUGAGGCGCGAAAGCCAGGGGAGCAAACGGG
rnacentral:rRNA from 1 species